CGGUAAUUAGCUACAGGAAUGUGUGAGCUCUACCAGCUGUCAGUUUCUGAGUUGCUUUUCCUUCUCCCUUUUUGCUAAGGCAACGUCUUCCUACGUCAGGACUCUGAGCUCCGAACAACUUGGCCUGUGUUUUCUUUCUCCUCGCCCAACUCUUGUGGGAGCUGUGCAGCUGCUGCUGCUGCUUGCUGAACUGGACUGAGUGAAGGGAGUGCGGAGGACAAGGCCGGUGCAUGCUUCAAUAAUGCAUGUGUUUUGAGGCCACCUCGGGACAGAGGCCGUUUUUAAAGAGAUGCUUUAAAGAUACUCCGCGACCGACUCAUGUACAGGAACUUAUUAAAAAUAGAAAAAGUGGUCGGACAAAACAGCAUGCUUCAUCUGAGGGCCUCCAGAUCCCUGAGCUGGUUAUUAACUAGCAAGAUGGUUAAUUUUCAUCUAAGAGACAAGCAAAACCUUUCAGUUGGAUGAAGGGAACUGAAUAUCUGAGGGAAGUGGACAAUGGAAAAUUUAAAAUGAGGAGACUAUAAUUUGGCUUCUCAUACAGUAUUCAGGUAUGUUCUAUAUGUUAUCAUGAAAUACAGUAUGCCUGUGUUUAUAUAUAUUCCAUUUAUUUAUUCAUCUUGCUCUAUGGGCCUUUUAAAGUAUACAAUGUACAGGCUUUUAUAUGGAAUCCACAGAUCCAAACAUUUUCUCCCAAAGAGCAUUUUUUUUACCUCUAGGCUUUAUUCUAUGAAAGUUGGAUGUAUCUCCAUCGAACCACUGAGCU